GACGAACGCUGGCGGCGUGCCUAACACAUGCAAGUCGAGCGGGGAUUUAAGUGGAAGUUCUUCGGAAUGGAGAUUUAAAUUCUAGCGGCGGACGGGUGAGUAACGCGUGAACAAUCUGUCCCGGACAGGGGGAUAACACUUGGAAACAGGUGCUAAUACCGCAUAAGACCACGGCCUCGCAUGGGGCUGAGGUAAAAGGAGCAAUCCGGUUCGGGGUGAGUUCGCGUCCGAUUAGCUAGUUGGUGAGGUAACGGCCCACCAAGGCGACGAUCGGUAGCCGGCCUGAGAGGGUGAACGGCCACAUUGGAACUGAGAGACGGUCCAAGCUCCUACGGGGGGCAGCAGUGGGGAAUAUUGGGCAAUGGGCGAGAGCCUGACCCAGCAACGCCGCGUGAGGGAAGAAGGUUUUCGGAAUGUAAACCUCUGUCCUAUGGGACGAAGGAAGUGACGGUACCAUAGGAGGAAGCCCCGGCUAACUACGUG
rnacentral:rRNA from 1 species